CCCACAAAACCUACGGGAGUCCCCUCCGCCGCCGCCCCAGCCGCUCCUUCCCCCCACCCCCGCCGCCCGCUCAAGCCCCACCGCCCGCCGGCGCCGACGCCGCGACCCACCCGCUCCGGCAAGAUGAACAAGGAGAGGCUCAUGAAGAUGGCCGGCGCCGUCCGCACCGGCGGCAAGGGCACCGUGCGCCGGAAGAAGAAGGCGGUGCACAAGACGGCGACCACGGACGACAAGCGGCUGCAGAGCACGCUCAAGAGGGUGGGCGUCAACACCAUCCCGGCCAUCGAGGAGGUCAACAUCUUCAAGGACGACCUCGUCAUCCAGUUCCUCAACCCCAAAGUGCAAGCGUCCAUCGCCGCAAACACAUGGGUGGUCAGUGGGACUCCCCAGACCAAGAAGCUACAAGAUGUUCUUCCUUCGAUCAUCAACCAAUUGGGCCCUGACAACAUGGAGCACCUGAAGAGGAUUGCUGAGGAGAUGCAGAAGCAGGUGGCUGCUGCGGGCGCCAUCCAGCCCAAGGAGGAGAACGACGACGACGUUCCGGAGCUCGUUCCUGGAGAGACCUUUGAGGAGGUAGCCCAGGAGACAAAAGCCUGA
rnacentral:rRNA from 1 species